rnacentral:rRNA from 1 species
UACAGAGGGGGCAAGCGUUGUUCGGAAUUACUGGGCGUAAAGGGCGCGUAGGCGGCCUGCUAAGUCGAACGUGAAAUCCCCGGGCUCAACCCGGGAACUGCGUCCGAUACUGGUUGGCUUGAAUCCGGGAGAGGGAUGCGGAAUUCCAGGUGUAGCGGUGAAAUGCGUAGAUAUCUGGAGGAACACCGGUGGCGAAGGCGGCAUCCUGGACCGGCAUUGACGCUGAGGCGCGAAAGCCAGGGGAGCAACGGG